AACGAACGCUGGCGGCAUGCCUAACACAUGCAAGUCGAACGAGACCUUCGGGUCUAGUGGCGCACGGGUGCGUAACGCGUGGGAACCUGCCCUUAGGUUCGGAAUAACUCCCCGAAAGGGGUGCUAAUACCGGAUAAUGUCUUCGGACCAAAGAUUUAUCGCCUUUGGAUGGGCCCGCGUUGGAUUAGCUAGUUGGUAGGGUAAAAGCAUACCAAGGCGACGAUCCAUAGCUGGUCUGAGAGGAUGAUCAGCCACACUGGGACUGAGACACGGCCCAGACUCCUACGGGACGGAGCAGUGGGGAAUAUUGGACGAUGGGCGAAAGCCUGAUCCAGCAAUGCGGGGUGAGUGAUGAAGGCCUUAGGGUUGUAAAGCUCUUUUACCCGGGAUGAUAAUGACAGUACCGGGAGAAUAAGCUCCGGCUAACUACGUG
rnacentral:rRNA from 1 species